UACGGAGGGUGCGAGCGUUGUCCGGAAUCACUGGGCGUAAAGGGCGCGUAGGCGGCUUCUCAAGCGUGUGGUGAAAGUCCGGGGCUCAACCCCGGAUCGGCCGUGCGGACUGGGGAGCUCGAGUUCUGUAGAGGCGGGUGGAAUUCCGGGUGUAGCGGUGGAAUGCGUAGAGAUCCGGAAGAACACCGGUGGCGAAGGCGGCCUGCUGGGCAGUUGCUGACACUGAGGCGCGACAGCGUGGGGGGCGAACAGG
rnacentral:rRNA from 1 species